rnacentral:lncRNA from 1 species
UUGAUUUGGUUUGGUAAAUAUAGUCAGUCACCUUGAGGAGACUAAUGUGUUAAACAAAUAAAUCAAGUAGCUAAGUAAUAUGUGUAUGUAUAUGUCAUUUUAAUUCAAAGACAUGCCUUCUGAGUGUUACAACCCAUGUUAUAAUGUUCAAAGCAAACUUUGCUCUUUUUCCAUUUAUCCAUCUAAUAGGUUUCAUAUUUCUAAUAAAAGCAACUCUGCGUUAUUUUCACAAUGUUUUUUCUUUUUCAUAACUUUAACCAUUUUUAUCU